rnacentral:lncRNA from 1 species
CAGAAAAUCUAUGAUGAACGAAAAUUACUUGAUCUGACUUGUAUUUGAAAGACAAGUCUGAUUCGAUCGUAUAAUUAUCGAUAAACCUAAUUUAUACAUUAAUGAUUUAGUUAUCAAAUUCUAAAAGAUAAACGGUUCAUAUCAACCAAAACAGGUUUGGGGUGGACCCACAACCCGCGAAUUUUACGGUUAACAUUUUCCAAACAGUGGCUGUGUACCACGUGUAUUACACAAUAGUGCAGGGUUGAUUAAUAUGUCUCUUGUCACACUGGAUUCUAGCCCAGGUCGUUCAGCUAUUGAAUUGACUUGGCUUUAUAAAUGUUGAGUAAGCUGUUUAAAGUUUAAACACUGUAAGGUAAACGUGCGGCCGCCAUGAGAGGAAAAA